CAUUCAUCCUCAAGCCAACACGUGUCCUGUCUCUCCAGAAACGCGGCGUUUCAUUAAUACGGUAACUUCAUGGGCUUCGCUUGCGUGCUGCCGAUUGGGCUUUGUGCGGUUGUGCGUGUUAUCCGGCCCAGAUAUAUUGAUGACAUCUCUAACCCUAGAACGUCUGAAGCGAAGAAACGAGGUUGGUCGCUCCCCUCCGUUAGGAGGCGAGGCGGUGACGUUUACACUUCCCACGGCCUGAAAUGGUCUCAUUAAUAUCUUUCUCUUUACUCCCAUUGAUUCCUCUUCCCACGAUCUGUCUUCAAAGAGCUUUUGGAUCUGUGAGUCGGUGUUCACACUAUGCUGUUACCUGCUAAAUUUUUAACCUGCGUCGGCGAACAGAGUCCAUUAGUGAGCAUAGAACGGCAAGAGGUAUCGUCUGAGCAAGUGCCUUUGUAGGAUUCUGGUUGUUCGGAGUGUACGAAGAAGUGAAAAGGGUUAAAAGGAGUUGGAAAGGUAGUCUUUGGUGGAAAGGAGAUAUGGGUUUCGGAGAUUGGAGAUGGAAGAUAGUAGUCUGUAUUCUGAGGGAGAAGAAACAUGUGAGAUUUUUAAAAGGUUUAAGCUUUCAUUCGCUAGACAGUUCAUUAUCAGUUCAUUGAGGUUAAACUAGAGUGAUGAGAGGACGAGAUCCUUGUAGAUGCAGUUUUGAGCGAUGAGGUCUGACACGGAGGCCAAUCUGUGGACGUGAAUGGCAGCGUAGAAGCUGGAGACAGCUUCAGAGUUCAAACACAGAUGUGGUGUUUAGGACGCAGUGUUGUUGGCUGUCUCCCACCACGCAGCUGCUUUUAGUUGCAGGAACAAUUGCCGCUGAGUGACUGUUGUUGGUUUGAAGACUUUAUUUCCAAGGAAGGAGGAAGAUAAUGGAGCGAGACGAGGGACGGAGACCCCAGGAAGAGAUGAAGGAAGAAGUAAAUCUCAUUGUCGUUUUGGUGGCUCAUUUGGGUUUUGAUUUUGUGUUUUUCUUUUCUCUCAACACUAAAACUCUUUGGCAAGCAAAUAAUGUACACUGAGUUAUUGAUAGAAGAGAUUUGCUAACGCAUUCUUAAAAA